UGGGGCGAUCAAUGCACAAAACAGCUUUACCAAAUCAAAGAAAAAUAUUAUAUAGAAACUAGAAAUUUUUCUUCAAUGAAUGUAUUUUAGCACAAUAUGAAGCUUAAAUAGGCGGGCUAAUCGCUGUAUAUACUAUACUAGAUGUACUGUCCGCCGCAAAACAAUCGCAAACUGUCGAAAUAUAUCAGCAAACUGUGCUGAAGUUGGCAUGACCUUCGUGCACUCAAUGUGUUAUUAAUAUGCUGCAAAUACCAAUGUCUGCAAACGAUUCAGACUCCGUGGUUUUACAGAAGGAAAAAGAAUGGCGUGAAGCUUCUCAACUCAGAGUUCAGGCACUGGAAGAAACUAUAGCUGAAAAAGAUAGGGAGUUCAGACACUAGGAAAAGUUGAGAUUUCGUAAGUUGAAGGAUGAUUUUGAGUAUAACUUCAAACCUAUAUUAGAACGAGAUCAAGAGUUAGAGAAAUAUGAUACGGUGAUUGGUAAAGUUAAGGAAGAGGAGCACGUUAAGACUGCUCAAGUUAGUGAAUUGUGUGUGAAGAUUGAUGAAUUCAACAUCAAAUUACAAAAUGAACAGAAGUCCAAAGAGGAGCUACAGAAACACUACCAAAAGAGAUUGCAAGAAUAUCAGAAUCAAUUUAAAGCUUUUCAAGAAGAGAAAGAUAAUGUAGUUGCUAAAGAACGGGAGGAGCUUUCGUCUUAUCGGAAAAAUCUGGAGCUACAAUUAAGGUGAUCAUAAUUAAUGAACUCUAAAGAGCAACAGAAAAUGAUUUGAGUUUCGUCAUCCAGAAAAUGUCAGUAAUUUUGAUGAAGCAAUAAGAAAAAGAGAACAAGAAUAUCGAUCAAAACUGGAUGAAACAAGAAGUCUCUUAUUGUCAAAUGACCUUAAGAUCUGAAGUUUAACAAAAGAACUGGAGUUAAUGCGAUGUGAUAGUCGUCGAUGUAAAGAGGAACUCGACAAGAGAGAACUGAGAACUCGGGAGCUGAAGAAGAUGCUUGAAGAAAAAGAUUGUAUGCUUUCUGAUUUGGAAAACACUCAUAAGUAUAAGUAAGGUCACAGAUCUCGAAGCACAACUGGAAAAUAUGAGGAGAAUGGGAGACAACUUACAGGAGGAUUUUAAAAGGAAACAUGCCGAAUUGGAUCGCUUUGCUCGGGAAAAAGAAGAAAUGUUGGCCAACGCUAAACGAGUUCGUCAGAAGCAACUAAACAUUGAUCAACUUCACUAUCAGUUGACAACAGAGAAUCGUCGGGCCAGCGAAGAAAUGAAUGUUUUGAAGCAGCAGAACUCUGAUCUCAAGCUGCCGGUAACCCAAGCAAGACAACAGGCUGACCAAUUUUACAAAACGGGUUUGGAGAGAAAUAUUGAUGCCGUAUCAUUAUAAUAAACCAGUUGUCAGCAUGCAUUAAAAUUGGAUCUUGCCAGUCACGGAAAACCUUUGAAUAUACGUACAAUCCAGAAAGUCAGUUUAUACAAGACCUUCGAGAGAAAGAAGUCAAGCUGCUCAACGGAUUAAUGGAUUAACAAAAGAACGCGAACAGUUGAUUAAAAUUGG
rnacentral:lncRNA from 1 species